CGGACCGGCGGACGGGUGCGUAACGCGUAUGCAACCUGCCUGACACAGGGGGAUAAUCCGAAGAAAUUUGGUCUAAUACCCCAUAAUACCGAUAUAGGCAUCUAUGUUGGUUGAAAGCUUUGGUGGUGUCAGAUGGGCAUGCGUUGUAUUAGCUAGUUGGUGAGGUAACGGCUCACCAAGGCGACGAUACAUAGGGGGACUGAGAGGUUAACCCCCCCACACUGGUACUGAGACACGGACCAGACUCCUACGGGAGGCAGCAUG
rnacentral:rRNA from 1 species